rnacentral:siRNA from 1 species
AUCAAGCAGAAGACCAAAAACAAC